CCUACGGGAGGCAGCAGUGAGGAAUAUUGGUCAAUGGGCGGAAGCCUGAACCAGCCCAGUAGCGUGCAGGAUGACGGCCCUACGGGUUGUAAACUGCUUUUAUACGGGAAUAACGCGCCUUACGUGUAGGGCUUUGCAUGUACCGUAUGAAUAAGGACCGGCUAAUUCCGUGCCAGCAGCCGCGGUAAGACGGCAGGUCCGGGCGUUAUCCGGAUUUAUUGGGUUUGAAGGGGGCGUAGGCCGCAUGUCAAGCGUGCUGUGAAAUUUCCGGGCUCAACCCGGGCCUUGCAGCGCGAACUGGCGUGCUUGAGUCCGCGGAAAGUAGGCGGAAUUCGUCGUGUAGCGGUGAAAUGCUUAGAUAUGACGAAGAACCCCGAUUGCGAAGGCAGCUUGCUGCAGCGGAACUGACGCUGAUGCUCGAAAGCGCGGGUAUCGAACAGGAUUAGAUACCCUUGUAGUC
rnacentral:rRNA from 1 species